AUUAACUCUCUCUCUUUCUGAUUGAGUGUAAGCUGCUAUAUGAAGGGAUCCACAAGACGAAUAAUUAAGGGGGACCUCUGAUCAACAGCCAGCAAGGAACUGAAUCCCUCAGACCCACAACUCACAAGAAACUGAAGCUGAAGCAGAUUCUUCCUCAGUCAAGCUUCAGGUGCCCAGCUGUAUUGGUAGAGGAGACCAACCACACCCUCCACAGCACAGCACCUGGAGAGGAACUGCUGCCAUGACCAUAGAGGACACCCUCUGGAUACAAUGCCAGACUUGAUGUGGGACUGACCAACCUAUGGACCCCAGGCACCACCACCCAGACCUGCUCAGCACCUGAAACAUUCACAGCCGUGGAGAGAGAACUGUUCACUGCUACCAUCCACACUUCUGGGCCCCUUCAGCAGCAGGGUGACAAGGAAGAGGGAAAUCGACUUGGAAAAGAGGGGACCUCUGACCCAAGAGUUCGGUCAAUGCAUAUGUUGGCAGCCAGCUGCACAUCGCACCAAAUAUGAACUUCAAAUAGAAGAAAGCCUCAUUUGGAAGAAAGCUCAUGCACAGACUGUAAAUAUUUCAGAGCAGAUUGUGUCUCUGUAGAUUAAAACAGGGCAUUAAGGCACAGACACAGAGGGAAGACCUUGUGGAGGCUUGGAGGAAGACAGCCAUCUACUAUCCAAAGACAGAGACAUCAGGAUGUAACCAACCCUACAACACCUUGAUCUGGGACUUCCACCCAGCCUGUGGUGCUGGUCAUGCCAGCCUGAGCAGACUGUCACAGCCGGCUUUUCCUGACUCCCCUUUACAGAGGGCUCCUACCCUUCCUGCCACUCCACAGGGCUAUAGAAAGAUUUUUUAAAGAUCUAUAUGAAGAAUAAGAAGUUAGUCCCUUUCGGACAAAAAUCUUCAGUAAAAUUGAUCUGUGCCCCAGGCACACAAAGAAGCAGGAAUCUGGGUAUUCUCACUGUCAAUAUUCCAUAUGUCUAGCCCCUGGAAACCUAAAACAAGACCAGAGAAUACCAAGGAAGGCAGAUUAUUUGGAAGACAUGGAUGCCAAAGUGCUUCUCAAUCCAGUCUCAGAAGCCAGAGAUGUCAGUGGGUGCUGCUGUUUUAUUUCCUGUGAAUCGGAGGACGAUGAGAAACCAAAUGAAAAUAUUGCCACAGUUAAGAUUGAAAAGAAGGCAAUUUAUGAGUGAGGUGUGGAUUUCAAAUGAGAUCUUCUCUGUUGACAGAGAGCCUUUGCUCUAAGCCAAUACCUGAGCUUCUGCCAGUUUGAACAAUUAUAAUGGAGGAAGGAGAUGAGGGAUUAGAAAAAACAAAGCUGACAGAUGGCAAUUUGUGAAGAGUUGAAUCAACAUAAAUUAUAUCUCAUCAGUGAGCAGAGGAAAGAGAGGAUGUUUUCCAGUGUUCGGCUAACCACUGAGAUGGUGAACAUGCCAGAGGCACAGCAAGCAAACCACUGGGCACCCUCCAGAUCUGGAUGCAAGCACAGAGCUGGAGAAAUACCCUUUAUUGGAAAGCCAUAUGGAUUGCAAAUUGUGGAUAGACAUCUAUUUGAAACAAUACAAUAAAUGAACAUCUGGGAUUUUGGUAGGUGUCAGUCAUAGACUACAGAAAACCAGAACAAAAUUGCUCAUAACUAAAUAUGAUAAUGCAGAAAGUAUCCAAGACUCGCCAGUUCAAAACCCACAUUUUUAAUAGUGUAUAUGGUUAAGUGUAAAUGUUUUUUUCUGAGGUUAGAAACAGUUCACUGAAAUCAUAUAAAAUGUUCAAGUUAUCAAUUUUUUUCUGUAGCCUUAAAUUUUCAUUCUUUGAAAUUAAGUAAUUAAACAUUAAUGUUAACUUUCCAAACUUUUGUAACUAUCAAGGGAAAUAGAAAAGUCAGCUUGUCAGACUCAAUACAUUGUAAUAACAUAUAAUAUAAAAUAACAUAGAUAUGGAUACACAUAAAAAAUUACUUUAAGUCAUGAUAAUUAUAACUUUGGGGAUUAAGUAAAAAAGAUCUCCAAAUUCAAAUAUAACAAAUAUUAGGUUCAUGUGAAAUAAAAAUCUUUUAGC
ensembl:lncRNA MIR3976HG MIR3976 host gene